AAGAAGCACUACCGUCCUCUGCU
rnacentral:miRNA from 1 species